rnacentral:rRNA from 1 species
UACAGAGACUGCGAGCGUUAUUCAGAUUCACUGGGCGUAAAGCGCGCGCAGGCGGCUUUGUAAGUCUGGUGUUUAAACCCGGGGCUCAACCUCGGGUCGCAUCGGAAACUGCAAGGCUUGAGUGCAGAAGAGGAAAGUGGAAUUCCACGUGUAGCGGUGAAAUGCGUAGAUAUCGGGAGGAACACCAGUGGCGAAGGCGAUCACCUGGGGUUGUUCUGACGCUGAGGAGCGAAAGCUAGGGGAGCAAACGGG